rnacentral:rRNA from 1 species
GACGAACGCUGGCGGCGUGCUUAACACAUGCAAGUCGAACGGUGAAGCGCCUUCCUUUUUGGUGGGUGUGGAUGAGUGGCGAACGGGUGAGUAACACGUGAGUAACCUGCCCCCUUCUUCUGGAUAACCGCAUGAAAGUGUGGCUAAUACGGGAUAUUCUGGGUCUGUCGCAUGAUGGGUCUGGGAAAGAUAUUGUUUCGGUGGGGGAUGGGCUCGCGGCCUAUCAGCUUGUUGGUGGGGUGAUGGCCUACCAAGGCGGUGACAGGUAGCCGGCCUGAGAGGGUGGACGGUCACACUGGGACUGAGACACGGCACAGACUCCUACGGGAGGCAGCAGGGGGGAAUAUUGCACAAUGGGCGCAAGCCUGAUGCAGCGACGCCGCGUGAGGGAUGGAGGCCUUCGGGUUGUGAACCUCUUUCGCCAGUGAAGCAGGCCUGCCUCGUUUGUGGGUGGGUUGACGGUAGCUGGAGAAGAAGCGCCGGCUAACUACGUG